GACGAACGCUGGCGGCGUGCUUAACACAUGCAAGUCGAACGGAAAGGCCCUGCUUUUGUGGGGUGCUCGAGUGGCGAACGGGUGAGUAACACGUGAGUAACCUGCCCUUGACUUUGGGAUAACUUCAGGAAACUGGGGCUAAUACUGGAUAGGAGCUCCUGCUGCAUGGUGGGGGUUGGAAAGUUUCGGCGGUUGGGGAUGGACUCGCGGCUUAUCAGCUUGUUGGUGGGGUAGUGGCUUACCAAGGCUUUGACGGGUAGCCGGCCUGAGAGGGUGACCGGCCACAUUGGGACUGAGAUACGGCCCAGACUCCUACGGGAGGCAGCAGUGGGAAUAUUGCACAAUGGGCGGAAGCCUGAUGCAGCAACGCCGCGUGCGGGAUGACGGCCUUCGGGUUGUAAACCGCUUUCGCCUGUGACGAAGCGUGAGUGACGGUAAUGGGUAAAGAAGCACCGGCUAACUACGUG
rnacentral:rRNA from 1 species